GCAGACGGCUGCACGGAUCGAACAGAUCCGAACUUCCGCGGGGACGGCCUCGC
rnacentral:sRNA from 1 species